CUACUGCCUAUGUCCUGAGUGUAAUGUACUUAGAUGGUGUCAAGUUAGGUGAUGUUCAGGCUACAAUCAGUGGGGUCUUCACAGCAGCCUUCUUUCUAUUUAUCUCACAUGCUCGGCCCCUUCCUACCCUCUCAGCCGAACGACCUCAUCCCAAUAUUUUCUGUGCCUACGUCUUCCUCUCCCUCCUGGGACAAUUUGCUAUCCAUCUGCUUUUCUUAAUUUCUUCUGUUAACGAGGCUAGCAAGUACAUGCGCCCCUUCCUACCCUCUCAGCAGAACGACCUCAUCCCAAUAUUUUCUGCGCCUAUGUCUUCCUCUCCCUCCUGGGACAAUUUGCUAUCCAUCUGCUUUUCUUAAUUUCUUCUGUUAACGAGGCUAGCAAGUACAUGCCUGAUGAGUGCAUUGAGCCAGACUC
rnacentral:lncRNA from 1 species